UACGUAGGGUGCGAGCGUUGUCCGGAAUUACUGGGCGUAAAGAGCUCGUAGGUGGUUUGUCGCGUUGUUCGUGAAAACUCACAGCUCAACUGUGGGCGUGCGGGCGAUACGGGCAGACUGGAGUACUGCAGGGGAGACUGGAAUUCCUGGUGUAGCGGUGGAAUGCGCAGAUAUCAGGAGGGAACACCGGUGGCGAAGGCGGGUCUCUGGGCAGUAACUGACGCUGAGGAGCGAAAGCGUGGGGAGCGAACAGG
rnacentral:rRNA from 1 species